UGUGUUGCUACAAAUUUAGGUGAAACUACUUCUUGGGGAUUUACGUAGGAUUUUUGUGUCUUGAAAAUUUUAAAUAGGAAAAGUAUAAACUUGAAGAAUAAAAAACAUAAAAUAAAAAGAAAUUAAACAUUAAAUCGGUGGACACGUAUAAUCAAGUAAAAAAUGCUCUAGAAAUUAAAAUUUAUUUUUGACAUAGAUGGUAUCGAAGAUGUAUUCGAGCCGAAUAAACCUUAGCUUAACUCGUUAUGUUAUCACCGAAAAAUUAAAGAGGUGAAAUUUCGUUGGCCUAAGAUAGGGCGAAGAACGACUUAGGGC
rnacentral:lncRNA from 1 species